rnacentral:rRNA from 1 species
GACGAACCGUGCGAACGUUAUUCGGAAUCAUUGGGCUUAAAGGGCGCGUAGACGGUCGGCCGCGUCGAGAGCUGAAAGCCCCCGGCUUAACCGGGGAAUGGGCCUCGAAACGGGUCGUCUCGAGUGGAGGAGAGGGAUCCGGAACUGCCGGUGGAGCGGUGAAAUGCGUUGAGAUCGGCAGGAACACCGAUGGCGAAAGCAGGGUCCUGGACUCCCACUGACGUUGAGGCGCGAAAGCCAGGGUAGCGAACGGG